GGCGGCGUGCUUGCUUUCACUUCCGGGUGCUACGCGCGGCUGGUAGCGGAGGGGGUCGGGGCGCUGGUGAACGAGAAUGAGGACCGGGAACCACGGCUAGGCCUAGGGCUCAGGUCCUGGCCCAGGGAUCAGGGCCCAAGAUCUGACACCAGCCCCAAAGACUGGGAUUCGGGACAGAGGCUCAGGGGCUGAAAGCCGGAAACCGGUUGUAGGGCCCACGAACGGAGCCCGGGGAUGGGGAGCAGGCAGUCAGGCUGGGAAAUGAGCACUGGCCCUGGAAACUACGCCCAGAACCCAUGGUUGGGGAGCCAGACACAAGGGCCAGACUGAGACCCAAGUGCUUGGCCCAGUUUUUAGUCUCUGAAUCAGAGACUGAGGCUUAGAGUCCAGACCCUGUAAUGGUAAAACGUUGUGAAAGAGCCAAAACGUGAAAUCAUCUCUGAAUAGAUAAAUGAUUAGCAACAGAUUGGAGAUGGAGGAGAAUCACAGUCCCUCACCUGCUGUUUCUGAUUCUGUGUAGCAGGACUUUAAAAGCCUAUUUUGAGAGUCCUUCCCAUUUCUGUUGGUGGCGUUUUAUUUUAAGUAAUUUUGACUGUGGGGCCUAGAAGCUUGUGCAAAUUUGGGAGAUUCCGUAGCCAAAGAAACUAAAAGAGAUAAUCACUCAGUGAGGUAACUGCUUUUACUAACAUCUUUCUCUCUCCUCCCUCUCCACCUUCUCUGCGACCCCUGAGCAACAGGGGAAGAACAGAACAAAGAUCAAAGAAAGUCUGGUGGCUUUUACUACUGCACUGUAAAUGAGAUUGAAGAAAGCAUACAAGGAUUGCUGCUUUUGUGCACUCUGGAAAUUGAGUGAUGCUUGAGGCCAUUGGUGAUGUCUGUCAGAGUUCUUAGAAAAAAAGGGACUGAGACCUGACUCUGCUCAGCACAUCUCUGCUGUCCCCACCACACACCAUAAUGAGCUUGGAGCAGAGAAUAAAAGCAAGAAAAAUCAGAACAGGAGUUCAGAAAAAAAAGUUUCUAACUAAACACUCAGGACAGAGCCUGCAAUUAGCAGAAGAUAAAUUAGUAUCCCAGUUGGGGAUAUAAAGAGUAAGAUGUUAACUUAAAGGAUACUCCACCCCAGAGGGAUGCUGCCUUCUCUAGAAUAAUUUUCAUCUCAUUAAAAUUCAAGUCUCCUCUCCUUACAUUUAAUCACAUUUCAUUACCCACAGCUCCCUUGCUGGGACGUCUCUUGGUUGAACUUCAGUCAGGACCUGUGGUAAAGCUGCUGGAAGUGAGAGCGCUUACCUUUCAGAAUCUUCUUGAGAUGAGACGGAAGACCUCUGAGUCACUGAAGGUCAAGAUAAUCCACCUUUCCAUUAUAGAAGAGUUGGGCAGGGACAUAUGCCUCUAAAGCAGAGAAGAAAAUUUGUUUGCCCCAUCCAUCCCAUACAUAGGAUGCAGAUACUAGCACUAACAGACUAAGACUAUGAAGCAGAAAGAGAGAAGACAACAUAGUCUGCACAAAAGGAUGAAUGAAAGAGGGAAGGAAAGCUCCCUAGAGCCUGGGCCACUGUUCUGCCUCAGCAGUGUGGGGUCAGCAGCAGAACUGGCACUCUCUGACGUCACCCAGGAUCAGGGGAGUCUGGGGCUGUGGCCAUUAACAUCCUGCGCUGGGUCUGCCUGCAUCUUCAAGCAUGAACGUUCUUACACAGAUGGUCAGCAAGCGUUGCUGGGGAGACUGGAUGGUGUGUGAAGUCCCUGUGAAUAUCUCUGCAGAUACAGACUGAUACAUUUCUGCAUAAAACAGUCUCUGAGCUGGCACUUCAAGCUGAAAAUAAGA